rnacentral:lncRNA from 1 species
ACUUGAACACGUAAAAAUUUUGCGAAUGCACAUAUACUCAUACAUAAAUAAUACAACAAUAAUACAUAAAUAAUACAACAAUAAUANNNNNNNNNNAUAAUACAACAAUAAUACAUAAAUAAUACAACAAUAAUACAUAAAUACACGCAAACAAAAAAAAAAAAUGCAUAAACAGAUUACAGCGUAUUAUUUCAAAACAUCUCAUUUCAAUUAUACAUAUACAUAUAUACAUAUAUUUUUUUUAUGGUAAUUUUAGCGAAUUAAGCAAUGUAAAUCAAUCAGAAGAAUUAAUCAGACUUCAAAAAGAAAAUGAAAAAUUAAGAAAUAAAAUAGAAUCUGAUACAAAUAAAGAAUCAAAGAGAGUGAAAGAACUUGAAAAAGAACUCAAGGAUUUGAAAGAAAUAAAUAACAAUUUAAAGAAUGAAGUAUUAAAAGACACAAAUAAUAACAACGCUCAAACUAAUCCACAACAGGAGAAAUAUGAAGCACAAAAUGAAAAAAUCAUCAAAUUAGAAGCUGAGCUAUUAAUUGAAAAAAAAAAUAGUACAAUUAUUGAAGAAACGACUAAAAAUAAAUUAACAAAGGAAUUUAAUGCUGCAUUGCAAAUUUUUAAAGAACAAUUACAAAUUAGGGAAAAGGAAACUGAAUAUUACAAAGAAACAAUGAAAACACAGAUAGAUACUUUUAAAGACGAACAAAAAUUAUUAAGCGAUAUUAUUCACAACUUAGGCCUAAAAUAUAAACAAUUACAAACUUAUAAUCUUUGUUUAAAGAAUGAAAUUACAGGAAUUAAAUUAAGAACCAAAGCUUGUACAAAUUCCGACAACAAAUAAAAUCCCCGUUUUAUACAUAUAUAAUACUCCUUACAAUUAUUUUUUUUCUGUUUUUAAAUUAUUUUAAUUUUUUAAUAAGUCAAAACAUCAACAAAAUAACAUCAUGAAUAAAGUAAAUACUUCAUAUUUGUACA